GUGCGAAAUGCCGUCCCCUCGGGGGCGGUAUCUAUCCAGUGUGGCGGCUGGGUACUGAUGAGCAGCCAAAC
rnacentral:hammerhead_ribozyme from 1 species